rnacentral:lncRNA from 1 species
GCGGGGAUCACACCCUAAUGCAUAGCAACGAGCUUACCUUGGGAAAAUACCUGAAGCUCGUCCCAAUGCUACCCUGAUGAAACGACACUGUUUACGACGGCUCCCAACAGUCUGGGACCCAUUCCUUGCUGACGACAUAAAUUGUAUCUUGCAGCAACAGCUACAAAAAUAGUCGCCUCGCAGUGUUUCCUUCACGGAGAUCCGGAAAGAAAGUCUAUUCGGCUUGGGAGACGACCUAGCGUCCUGGGGAGUCUUCAAUUGGAGCAGGUCUCUUGGUCAGACCCUAGGCUGCUCUUUGAUGGAGUAGAAAAUGAACGAACCAGUCCAUAGUUUGUCUUCGAGCUAACGCACUUGGAGAUUGAGGACGUGCUUAGCUGGGACGUGAAACCGGCCACUUUUACCCAAAUCUGAUAGAAGACUUAACCAUCUCAAACGCGCCUCUAUCUUAGUCGCGUUGUUGCAAAACUCUUUGACUACGGUCUAAAUCAAGCAACAUCCCGAGAAAAGCUGAGGCGUGGAAUGUCUGCUGCACUGCGUAGUACGGAUUCCAAAUCAUCAUCGGCUCAUGGCACUACUAUUUAGUAUUGUGUAUUGCAUCUUUGUGUAAUGGGGACGAGUUCAAGCCUUUGGGGGUUGGAAAGAUCUCCACGCUGUACUAUAUUGCGAACUGGCUUUGUGCACUCCGAAAGAGAAGUUUGCUGGACCUGCAUCACCCAAUGUUGC